GAGUUUGAUUAUGGCUCAGGAUGAACGCUGGCGGCGUGCUUAACACAUGCAAGUCGAACGGAACGUAACCGAGGAAAUUUUUCGAAGUGGAAUCGGUUACGUUUAGUGGCGGACGGGUGCGUAACACGUGGGCAACCUGCCCUGCUUUUCGGAAUAACGCCGGGAAACCGUCGCUAAUGCCGAAUGAUAUGAGAAGAAGGCAUCUUCUUUUCAUCAAAGAAUUUCGAAGCAGGAUGGGCCCGCGCCGGAUUAGCUGGUUGGUGAGGCAACGGCUCACCAAGGCGACGAUCCGUAGCCGACCUGAGAGGGUGAUCGGCCACACUGGAACUGAGACACGGUCCAGACUCCUACGGGAGGCAGCAGUGGGGAAUAUUGCACAAUGGGCGAAAGCCUGAUGCAGCAACGCCGCGUGAGCGAUGAAGGCUUUCGAGUCGUAAAGCUCUGUCGCAGGGGAAGAAAAAGACG
rnacentral:rRNA from 1 species